rnacentral:lncRNA from 1 species
UUCAACAACAUUUAUACAUCUUUUUAAUUAGAUUAGCUUUACAAGCAACUUGAGAGCUCUUUCAUAAUGAAACACUGCUUUUCAAAUUACAUGACUUUAUAGUCUAUCUGUAUAUGAAUCCUGAAAAUCUUUGCCUACUCUUGAUAAAGGUCUGUGUUUUACAGCUGGUUAAUGUGUUGAAUAAAAACAGCAUUAUGAAGCUUUAUCUUUAACCAGGAUUAAACACAUAUAGGCCACAAACAGUUUUAAAUUUUGUUUGAAAUAGAGUCCUGCUUGGUGACAAGUUAAUAGUCCCACUAACAUGAAAUGAAUGGAUAUUAAAUAAAUGGCCAUCCUGAUUUCUUGAUCUUUUCACAAUGAUUCCUAAGAGAGUAUAUAAACUUUUCCAAAAAAUAUACAAUUUAAGACCUGUCUGGCAAGCACAACCCACAGAUAGUAGAAUCUAAUACUUUUUACGAGACUAAAAUUGAUGUCUGAAGUUGAUGAGUUUUUGUGACUUUCUUAAUACUUAUUUCAACUACUUAUUUUUUGCAAGGGAACUGCAGAUCAGAAAGAGACAAUAGGCCGGGCACAGUGGCUCACGCCUGUAAUCCCAGCACUUCGGGAGGCCGAAGUGGGUGGAUCAUGAAGUCAGGACUUCGAGACCAACCUGGCCAAUAGGGUGAAACCCCAUCUCUACUAAAAAAAAGAAAAAAAAAAUUAGCCGUGCAUGGUGGCACAUGCCUGUAGCCCUAGCUACUCAGGAGGCUGAGAGGCAGGAGAAUCGCUUGAACCCGGGGAGGCGGAGGUUGCAGUGAGCCGAGAUCAUGCCACUGCACUCCAGCCUAGGUGACAGAGUGAGCCUCCCUCUAAAAAAAAAGAGAGACAAUAAAAGGGUAAAAGAAUGGCUGUUACAGAAAAAGCACAUUAUCAAUAGCACAAGUACUAAAAGAACAGAAAAGAAACAGAUAAAAGGACUCAGGGCAUUGCAGGCUAACAGUUUCAACAGUCUCUGGGGACAUCACUACAUUAUAGCAAAGAGUAAUGAUGGAUGUUUACAAUUAUAACCUUGACAGUUAAAUUAUGCUAAGAAUUUUUAAGGAUUUUAAUCAAAGCAAUUAUACUGUGUUUUGUGUUUAAACUUUGUCUAAACUUCAUUUUUCUGAAAAUCUGACUUAGAAUAUUUCAUUCCACCAAUAAGUGAGGCAUCUCUAGUUUAUUAAAUACUACAAAAGACAUACUUUCUGAUACAAAUAAUGGGGAAAAUGUAUAAACGCUAUAGGAAGUGAAAGUACGCUACAAAUCACCAGUUCCUGGGCAGAAUAUAGCAAUUAGUUCAAAUAUAUUGUGGAUUGUGGCCAGUGGACACAGGGGAAAAGGCAACAUUUAUCAGACAUACAGCCAGUAAUAUGACAGAAUGAAAAAUCACAUAAUGUAUUUUGAAGUAAAGAGUCUGGGAGUUUGGACAACUGGGAGCCUGACGUUUACAGACCCCACCACUGGUGAAUCACAGAGCUGAGGUCUAAGGAGGUCUCCUGACUUCCAGACCAGACUCUGCUCUUUCCAGAGUUCCACUACCUUUCUUACCAUGUGGCUUCUUCUACUUUUGGGUGGCCUUGGAAAUAGGAAAGGGCUCAGAUACAUAAUUUUAUGUAUCUUUUGCCCAUGCCCUAAACUUUUAGUCACUUAGCAAUCAGAAUUCUAAUAUCUGGAUCAACAACUUACCUUAUGUCAUUCUAACUUUCCAGCCUUAUCACCCAUUCUAGAUAAGAUCAGAAUAGGAUUCUACUU